rnacentral:rRNA from 1 species
UGAGAGGUUGGCCCGCAACAUCGGGACUGAGACACUGCCCGGACCUCCACGGAGGGCUGCAGUAACGAAUAUUGGGCAAUGAGCGAAAGCUUGACCCAGCGACGCCGCGUGUAGGAUGAAGUCUUUCGGGAUGUAAACUACUGUCAGGGGGACGAAAGUGCGCUUCGGUGCAUUGAUCGAACCCAGAGGAAGUCACGGCUAACUUCGUGCCAGCAGCCGCGGUAAGACGAAGGUGGCAAGCGUUGUUCGGUAUUACUGGGCUUAAAGCGUGUGUAGGCGGAAAUGUAAGCGUUUUGUGAAAUCCCUCGGCUUAACCGAGGAAUUGCUUGACGAACUGCAUUUCUUGAGGCAGGUAGGGGUGCGCAGAACUCUUGGUGGAGCGGUGGAAUGCGUAGAUAUCAAGAGGAAUGCCGGUGGAGAAGUCGGUGCACUGGGCCUGACCUGACGCUGAGACACGAAAGCGUGGGGAGCGAACGGGAUUAGAUACCCCGGUAGUCCACGCCGUAAACGAUGCCUACUAGGUUGUGGUGGUUCUGACGCCAGCACAGCCGAAGCUAAAGUGUUAAGUAGGCCGCCUGGGGAGUACGGUCGCAAGGCUAAAACUCAAAGGAAUUGACGGGGGCUCACACAAGCGGUGGAGCAUGUGGAUUAAUUCGAAACAACGCGCAGAACCUUACCAGGGUUUGACAUGCUUGGAUGCCGCCGAGGAAACUCGGUUUGGCUGCCUUCGGGUGAAACUUGCACAGGUGCUGCAUGGCUGUCGUCAGCUCGUGUCGUGAGAUGUCGGGUUAAGUCCCUUAACGAGCGAAACCCUUGCCGCUAGUUGCCAGCGAGUCAUGUCGGGGACUCUAGCGGGACUGCCGGUGUUAAACCGGAGGAAGGUGGGGAUGACGUCAAGUCAUCAUGGCCUUUAUGCCCUGGGCUUCACACGUGCUACAAUGGUCAGAACAGAGCGACGCAAGACCGUGAGGUGGAGCAAAUCGCAAAAAUCUGGCCCCAGUUCGGAUUGCAGGCUGGCAACUCGCCUGCAUGAAGUUGGAAUCGCUAGUAAUCGCGUAUCAGCGAUGACGCGGUGAAUGUGUUCCUGAGCCUUGUACACACCGCCCGUCAAGUGAUGGGAGUUGGGAGUACCCGAAGUCGUCUUGCUAACCCGCAAGGGAGGCGGAUGCCGACGGUAAGCCCGAUGACUGGCACUAAGUCGGAACAAGGUA